AACCCUAAUUCCUAUGCUUCUUUCUCCGCCGCUUCUCUGUUUUUGGCUAAUUAGAUUUCGUUUUAUUAGGAACUCUGUUUUGGCGAUGAUGAUCAAUGCUUAAUUUCUGACACCUCUUGUAUGAGAAGAGCUUGAUAACCUCUUCUUUGAGCACAUUAUGCAAUACUCUGAGCCUUACCAAUGAUUUUUUUACAAAGACAAGUUUUUUGGA
rnacentral:sRNA from 1 species